UGGGGUCGAGCCAGAGCCAGGAGGAGCGAAGAAGAAGGAAAAACAGCAAUGUUCACCUGCUGCUGCUGCUGCCAUUAAAAAGCUUCGAGAACACGAAGAACAGACCCUCCAGGACAGUCUUUUUUCAGCAGCUCCAGAACAGUCUUAUUUUCAGCAGCUCAACAGCAGAAGAGAGGUGUCGCAGUUCGCUGCAGUUUUCUGUUGUCGUUCUUUUCUGGACGUGUUUUUGUAUUCGGACCUCGAACUCCCAACUGUAGCACAGUAAUCUGGUGAGGACACACGUCAUCAUCAUUUUGGCUCCUUCGUCAUACUUGUGUUACGUCUUUUAUACAUUAAAAUAUGGUGCACAAAAAAUUGAUCACGUGAAAUAUGGUGCAAAAUACAAUUUUCACCAUAUAUGAUUUUCGGUACAGUAACUUAAAUCAUAUACUACUAAGCAGAAGCGCGAUAAUGUAAUCAUGAACCUCAUACUUUGUGGAUACAUUUUUUUAAACUGAAA